CCAAGAUGGUUGAUCGAGGGAAUACAAUUCCAAGACGCUGGGGCAAACCGGUUUGAAAUACUCAGAUGAUGAGACCACUCUAACUUGUGACUGAGGCAGUUGGCGCAAAUACCAGUAUAUUGGGGCAGAGGUAGGCUACGCAGGUACGAGCUCUCUCCAUGUUUUAGAUCAAGUCCAGAGGUAUGGCAACAACUAUUAAGCUUGAAGUAG
rnacentral:lncRNA from 1 species